GGGGUAACGAGCUCACUCCCAACCCCUGUGACAUACCUUACUGUUGCCUCGGCGGAUCAGCCCGCUCCCGGUAAAACGGGACGGCCCGCCAGAGGACCCCUAAACUCUGUUUCUAUAUGUAACUUCUGAGUAAAACCAUAAAUAAAUCAAAACUUUCAACAACGGAUCUCUUGGUUCUGGCAUCGAUGAAGAACGCAGCAAAAUGCGAUAAGUAAUGUGAAUUGCAGAAUUCAGUGAAUCAUCGAAUCUUUGAACGCACAUUGCGCCCGCCAGUAUUCUGGCGGGCAUGCCUGUUCGAGCGUCAUUUCAACCCUCAAGCCCUCGGGUUUGGUGUUGGGGAUCGGCGAGCCUUUCUGGCAAGCCGGCCCCGAAAUCUAGUGGCGGUCUCGCUGCAGCCUCCAUUGCGUAGUAGUAAAACCCUCGCAACUGGAACGCGGCGCGGCCAAGCCGUUAAACCCCCAACUUCUGAAUGUUGACCUCGGAUCAGGUAGGAAUACCCGCUGAACUUAAGCAUAUCAAAAGGGCGGAGGAA
rnacentral:rRNA from 1 species